rnacentral:rRNA from 1 species
CAGUAGCCGCGGUAACACGGGGGGGCAAGUGUUAUUCGGAAUGACUGGGCGUAAAGGGCACGUAGGCGGUGAAAAGGGUGGAAAGUGAAAGUCUCCAAAACACUGGCGGGGUGCCUUCUUGACCAUUUCACUUGAGUGAGAUAGGGGAGGGUGGAAUUUCGUGUGGAGGGAUCAAAUCCUAAGAUAUACGAAGGAACGCCAACCGCGAAGGCAGCUCUCUGGGUCCCCACUGACGCUGGGGUGCGAAAGCAUGGGGAGCAAACAGGAUCAGAUACCCGCGUAGUCCCUGUCUCUUAUACAC